rnacentral:rRNA from 1 species
AACGAACGCUGGCGGCAGGCUUAACACAUGCAAGUCGAACGCAUCCUUCGGGGUGAGUGGCAGACGGGUGAGUAACGCGUGGGAACGUGCCCUUCAGUUCGGGAUAACCCAGGGAAACUUGGACUAAUACCGGAUACGUGCGAGAGCAGAAAGAUUUAUCGCUGAAGGAUCGGCCCGCGUCUGAUUAGCUAGUUGGUGGGGUAAUGGCCCACCAAGGCGACGAUCAGUAGCUGGUCUGAGAGGAUGAUCAGCCACAUUGGGACUGAGACACGGCCCAAACUCCUACGGGAGGCAGCAAUGGGGAAUAUUGGACAAUGGGCGCAAGCCUGAUCCAGCCAUGCCGCGUGAGUGAUGAAGGCCUUAGGGUUGUAAAGCUCUUUCGUCCGGGACGAUAAUGACGGUACCGGAAGAAGAAGCCCCGGCUAACUUCGUGCCAGCCGCCGCAGUAA